UUAUUCUUUUUUUCAUGAGGCUUAUCUUCUAAAAAAUAUCUGGUCUUUAUUCAUUUAGUUUAUUCUCUCAUUCGUUUCCUUUUUUUCUCCGCCGCUGAAGAACAGAUACAGGAUCUAAAGGAGGAAACUUGAAGGACAUAUAGGAGUGUUUUAAGGAUGCCUCGAGGUGGAGCGACUAUGAGGUUCUUGCAUGACCUAUUACCAAAUCAUAGGCUUGCAGUUGAAGUGGACCUGGUUCACUUUUGUCCUUUGGGGUUUAAUGGUACGUAUAUAACCAAAUAUUAUCAGUCAUCCAGCGAAAGAUGGACACAAACUACCGUUGACAAUAAAUGACUGGAAAUACAUGCCUCCACACUUCAUUGAGAAUGUGGUACUUGAAACAAAGCAAAUAUUUGAGUACCCAGAAGUGUUGGAUGACUGGAUCUACACCAAGAUAAGUGAUAGGUUAAGAAUUAUUGGGGCGAAGAAUCAUCCACCACUCCUACCACUGACCUAAAUGCUGAAGUUUUGAUGGCCUGGGAACUGCCAACACAGCUUAUCAGGAAGCCUUGAUUAGGAUUGCAGAAUUGGAGGAAGAACUAAGGAAAUACAAGACUGUUAACACAUCGACUAACGCAGGGAUCAGGAACAGUCCAUGAAUGGAAGAUCUUGGUGCACAUAGAUGCUUUACUAAUAUACUACUUAUAUACAACUAUGGCGACUCAGGCAUUUUGGAUGUUGAUAAUCUUAGUUACCAGCUUUUUGAGCUCUCCGGGUGUUGUUCUGUUGCCCAGAUGGCAGAAGUAUGUUUUCUGAACAGUUAAACAUCUUACUGUCGGAUAUGUAAGUUUCUAUGGUGCAUCAAUAUAAAACUUUGCGAUGAAUGGUACACGUUUCUGGUUUGAAAAUCUUUUUAAUUAUUGUGUGAAUGCAAAA